GUCGAACGGAAAGGCCCUGCUUUUGUGGGGUGCUCGAGUGGCGAACGGGUGAGUAACACGUGAGUAACCUGCCCUUGACUUUGGGAUAACUUCAGGAAACUGGGGCUAAUACCGGAUAGGAGCUCCUGCUGCAUGGUGGGGGUUGGAAAGUUUCGGCGGUUGGGGAUGGACUCGCGGCUUAUCAGCUUGUUGGUGGGGUAGUGGCUUACCAAGGCUUUGACGGGUAGCCGGCCUGAGAGGGUGACCGGCCACAUUGGGACUGAGAUACGGCCCAGACUCCUACGGGAGGCAGCAGUGGGGAAUAUUGCACAAUGGGCGGAAGCCUGAUGCAGCAACGCCGCGUGCGGGAUGACGGCCUUCGGGUUGUAAACCGCUUUCGCCUGUGACGAAGCGUGAGUGACGGUAAUGGGUAAAGAAGCACCGGCUAACUACGUGCCAGCAGCCGCGGUGAUACGUAGGGUGCGAGCGUUGUCCGGAUUUAUUGGGCGUAAAGGGCUCGUAGGUGGUUGAUCGCGUCGGAAGUGUAAUCUUGGGGCUUAACCCUGAGCGUGCUUUCGAUACGGGUUGACUUGAGGAAGGUAGGGGAGAAUGGAAUUCCUGGUGGAGCGGUGGAAUGCGCAGAUAUCAGGAGGAACACCAGUGGCGAAGGCGGUUCUCUGGGCCUUUCCUGACGCUGAGGAGCGAAAGCGUGGGGAGCGAACAGGCUUAGAUACCCUGGUAGUCCACGCUGUAAACGGUGGGUACUAGGUGUGGGGUCCAUUCCACGGGUUCCGUGCCGUAGCUAACGCUUUAAGUACCCCGCCUGGGGAGUACGGCCGCAAGGCUAAAACUCAAAGGAAUUGACGGGGCCCCGCACAAGCGGCGGAGCAUGCGGAUUAAUUCGAUGCAACGCGUAGAACCUUACCUGGGUUUGACAUGGAUCGGGAGCGCUCAGAGAUGGGUGUGCCUCUUUUGGGGUCGGUUCACAGGUGGUGCAUGGCUGUCGUCAGCUCGUGUCGUGAGAUGUUGGGUUAAGUCCCGCAACGAGCGCAACCCUUGUUCACUGUUGCCAGCACGUUAUGGUGGGGACUCAGUGGAGACCGCCGGGGUCAACUCGGAGGAAGGUGGGGAUGACGUCAAGUCAUCAUGCCCCUUAUGUCCAGGGCUUCACGCAUGCUACAAUGGCUGGUACAGAGAGUGGCGAGCCUGUGAGGGUGAGCGAAUCUCGGAAAGCCGGUCUCAGUUCGGAUUGGGGUCUGCAACUCGACCUCAUGAAGUCGGAGUCGCUAGUAAUCGCAGAUCAGCAACGCUGCGGUGAAUACGUUCCCGGGGCUUGUACACACCGCCCGUCAAGUCAUGAAAGUUGGUAACACCCGAAGCCGGUGGCCUAACCGUUGUGGGGGAGCCGUCGAAGGUGGUA
rnacentral:rRNA from 1 species